rnacentral:lncRNA from 1 species
GACCACAGAAGAUUCAGGGCAGCUGCCAGACCAGGGGCUAUCUCUGCCCUGCGCUGCUUCUGCUCAAAAGAGGUUGUCACUACCCUCUGAUCUUCCCUUGAAGAACCCGACUGGGGCUCUUCAGAGGGUGGGGCCCAGGAAGUUGUAGUUAACCCCUUCCCCAGGCAGUCCUUACACAGCCAUCUAGGUAUGCCUGGGAACCUUGCCACCAGGUCGGUGGUUCUCACUGGCUGCCCAUUGGAAUUAUCUGGGGAGCCUUUUGGAAAUGCAGUGCUUACAUUCCAUCUCCCUAGACCAACAGAAACUGCCCUCUGGAGGUGAAUCCCAGGCUUAGAGAUUCUGAUGAUUCUGUGGUCCAGCGAGUGCUGAGAUCUGUCCUGAGCUCUGUGGGGAGGGGCCUGGACUGAUCACUGCUUGGAAAUGAUUUUGCCCUACAGUAGGCCUUCAAGUUGAUCAAAUGCAUGAAUGAGCAAGCUUUUCUUGGAGUUUGUGAUGAAGCCCAGGAACCGGGUGCUUGCAGUCGUCCCAUAAGGCUCCCAGGGACAAGCUAGAGAAUCUGGCUGUCCCUCUGUCUCCAUGGUGCCAGCCCUCUUAGGCUCAGUCCAGAGGGAGAGGAGGCUAGUUAAAUAAGAAACUGAGAGAAAUAUGGAGCAUUAUUGAUUUAUUAGAAAAACUAGUAAAUGGGUUUCCUCUGGUUGGUGGAAGCACGGUUGAGCAGGUGGAGGACAGGACCCAGCUGGCCCCAGGGCCAGUCCCAGAUUGCAUGGUCUGUGCCCAACAGGGUUGCAUUCCUCUGCAGCCACCGCCUCCUCAUUUCCUCCCUGAGCUUGUUUGUCCAAGCCACCAAGCCAUGUGGUCCCGCUGGCUUCAUCCUCCUCUGGAUUCCUGCCCCCCUCCCAUGAAGGGAGGAAGAGGAUUCAGGGUCAGCCUAGGGGACCCUGGUUCCCUCCGAUAGGCAGGAAGGAGGAGGGAUGCAGAGGAGAGGCUGAGCCUUCCACGGGCCUCCUGUUAGGGGUGUUAGUGGAGGCCAGGUUGGGGAGGGAAGCCCAAGGACCCUCCACACCUCCCACAGCCAGAGUCAGUUGAGGCUGGGACAAAGGGGAAGGAGAGAGGGAAGGAGGACCGCCUGACCUCGCCCAGAAGGAGCUUCCUCUAAACUGCCCUAGGGAGGAAGCCUGGUAUGCUGGUGUGGACUGGAGCUGUGUCAACCUAGUUUGGGAAUACUGUCAAAAGACUGUAGAGUAGAAUAAGGAGAGAAAAAAAAAAAAGACCUUGCUAGGGCACUGGGAGAGCUUAGCCCUGGUGUGGCACACACAGGGUCUCCCAAAGCUGGAUGCCUGCAUUUUCAGUCUAGUUGGUCGAAUGUCUUGGAGCCUGGGUGACAGGAGGGAUGUGUGGGGAGCUGGCAACAGAAUGGUCACAUGCAGCUGGCUGCCCUGGACCAGGCCAGGGGACCUGGGGUGGUGAGAUGCUAGCUCUUCCACUGGAGCCCUUCCUUUCUCGGGCCUGUGGAGUUGCUUGCUGGAAAUGCCUCACUUCAGGUGCUGAUUUGGCACACGUGGAAGGGGGAGGGUGGGCCCUUGUCCCUAGGCUCCCUAAAGACUGGCCCAGGGAAACAGUUGAGGGAGAUGUUUGCCACCAUCUGCCCUUCAGCAAGGAACCUGCUCUCUGCCCCAGAGGAGGACAUGCCUGCAAGUGCACGAAAGGCCUACUUUAUUGCUAGGUGAGUGUAGUCACCUCACUGCCUUGGUUUCCCCAGAUACAGAAAGAGGCUGGUGAGUGAUACUCACUAGGUUCCCUGUAUAGGGUCAUAUGUACCAAAGCCAAAUGAAGACCUUGCUCACCAGGGCGGGAACCUGGGGAUAUCAGGCUCCAUCGGAUGACGUCUUCCUUCCUGUGGCUCCUGCCUGCUGCAGUUGGUGUCACCCUGACAUAGUGUCAGGGCCACAGGGUGGAACUGAUUUCUGCCGGCACUGGUCAGCACUCACUCAGGGUUCCUCAGGGGGCCUCAUUCUGGAUGCCUGCCCCUGUGGCUUCUACCUGAACCUCACCCACUUCAUCUCCAUGGAACUAAGGUCCUUCUCACAGGGAAGGUGAUAGAAACUGACUGCAGGCCCUGGGGACUUUUAUGGUUUCCUUAGGGGAAAAUGCCUGCUGCCCUCCGCCCUCCCUCCCCCGACCCGCUUGACUGCUUUCUUGGACCUAACCCUAGUUCGAUACUGGGCCAGAACUGUGUUGCUUUAGGAGUAGAGUGGUGGGGAAAAUAUGGAAUGAGCCUUCUCUUCCUCCAGAAGUAUGACCUGAGCAGCAAGGGGAAGGCCAUUCCUGGGGACAUUGGUUGCAGAGCUUCUGGUGCUCAGGGCUGGAGGGUGGUAGAUAUUUGACCUCUGUACUCAUGUGACCCCCUCCCUGCCAAGACCUGGGGCCAGGACGUGGAGAAGCUGAUCAAGGGGUACCACACCUUCAUGGCUCUGGCCGUGACAUUUGUCCCAGUUGUGCAGGGGUAGCUGUCACAUGGGUGGUGAUACCAAGACAUGGCUGCAUCUGCCACCCCGAGAAAACAGAUGAUCAACUUUACUGUCUGCCCAGCCAUUACCCUCCAAAGUCCCAGCUGCAGACAGGAUGCAAUUGAGCAUUUGGCUUUGGGAUGCUUUACUGCAGGCCUGGAGGCCCCAAAGGCGCCAGAGGAGCUGGGAUCCCCUGUCCCUGGAGCGGAGCCAGCGCGGGCGAGGGCAUGGAGGGGGCGUCGGCCCAGGACACGCGGGCGAAGGCAGCUUUUGCAGUGCAGCGUGGGGCCCGGGGGCCCGGCCCGCGACUCGACUCAUCUCGAUUCGACCGGCGGGCGGCGGCGAGAGGAGGCCAAGGCCUGGGCUGCCCCGGUCUCUGCGCGUCCCGACUCCGCCGCGCCCGCCAGCCCCACCCGCUACUUCUUUUUGGGGAAGAAGCUGAAUCUCUUCUCCUUCUUGCCGAGGCUGGCGUCGGGGCCGGAGAGGGAAGGCAGGGGCAGGCUCUGCGCCUUGAUGCGGAUGCUCUGGGACUCGUUGAUGGCGGUGCUCACGCCCUGCAGCCAGGACAGCAUCUCCUCCUGUGGGGCGGAGGGUCACGGUGGAGUCUGGAGGUCCACAGCCCCCCACCUCCCGGGCCAGGCAACAAUGGUGGGGGCUCUUGGGACUGCCCCUUCUGAGGGGGCCUCCAGGGCAAGCGGCCUGGGGUCCUCCACCUACCCCUUUCUUAGCCAGGUCUGGGCUAGGCUGCCGGCGCUUACCUCAUCCUUGCCAUGGAAGAGCCACUCGCUGCCAUUACUCAGCCUAGGAGGACAAAGGGUUUCCUGUCAUGGAGACACCUCUGGAGGGGGCGCUGGGCAGAGGGCUGGCUCUGAUCCCACAAUACCCUGAGCCGAACAUCCAGACCCCUCUCAGGCAGCCCAGCACUUUCUGAGAGGUCAAAGUCUGGACCAUCAGCCUCUUUGAUUUGAAAAACCCGUGAGGAGCAGCUCAGGCCUGGCGCUGGUCCCCUACAGAGGGCCUCUGCCCUGCCACUAAUGCCAAAUCAAGCCAUCAACCCGAGCUUUCAAAGGCCAGGAAGGCCUCACCUCAGCUUAAAGACGUGCUUCUUCUUCUUGUAGUUGGCAGCAAUCUCACAGAUGGCAUGUCUCAGGGCCAGGGGUUCCUCCCCAUGGUAGGGCAUCCCCAGGGCCAGGUUCUUGGCAUCCUUGUAGAAGGUUAGCUCACUGUUCCUGAGCACACAGUACAGGUUGUUCCAGGACCUGCAAAGAUGCAGACAGGCAGGUCACCCACAUCCUGAUAUGGUAUCUCUAGAGUCAAUUCCUAUAGCUUCACCAUUAAAAAAAAAUUACACCAUGUUGGUUCUGAUACAUAGUAACAUGUUUU